AUCCUGUAACUCUUGGUAAAUUGCAGCCACACUUCUGUCCUUCAAAGUCUGCCUGUGAUAACGGAACCUGCCGAGAUCCUUAAUGACAAGAAGAAACUGCGUCUCUCUCAUCAUCUUACUCUUGCAACAGAAUAAAUUACAGCGAAGAUACGAGCACCCUGGCGAUAUCUUCUGCGCACUGAUACGAUUGGCGUGUGGAGUUCAGUAGAAUAAAACUGUCCCUACAUUAAACUGCUCACUAAGAACUCUGUGGAUUAUCUUCAUUAAUUUGGUCGUGAUUCCUGAAACAACGAUGAUCUCCAUGGGAUUCCCUAUGAUCAUAGUGAUCACCGUCACUGCAACUUGUGCUUUGACCUGCUUUCCCUUCUCUGUUUUUAUGUACAUGCGGGGAUAUGAAAAGGGUUUGAAGAAUUCUGUGCUUCAUACGACUGUGGAGGAGGGACAGCGGCUUCCUGCUGGUGCGCAUGGGAACCAGGACAAAAUUGACAGACGACAACUGCUUGACAUUUACACAGAGGUCACCUACAGCCCAUUGUGACCUCUGACCUCAGCCACACCUCCACAGGUCAUGUGACCCAGAUAACCACACCCUCCAAGACUGGGUUACACACCUUAACCACACGCUCCUACAUGAGUUCAUUUUCAAAGAUAAGGGCUCAAUGUUCUCAUUCAGUUAUAAUUUUCAUUUUCAUGUUUACAUUAAAAUCUAGUUGACCUGUAUAAGGUGUAACCUGCUUUAUUUUCAGUGCUUAUUAAGGAAUAAAAUGUUGCUAUUAUUUGGUUCUGAAAAAUACCUUUCGUUGAAUCAUUUUUC